UCGGACGCGGCGGUGGCUAAAAGUGUUGCAAAUUGUCAAGCGGAUGAAAAAGGACUUUGCUUUCAAUUAAAUAGCAGCACAUAGCAGAGCAUAGUAGACCAUAGCAGAGACCAACUUAGUGCUCAGUGUAUACAUACAUACAUAUGUAUGUACAUUGCGUAUGUGCGCUUAUAUGCUUGUGUUUAAAGUUGUAAGCUCGUAAUUUGCGUGCUACAAAGGAAACGGAAAUUGCAAACGUAAAUUACACAGGUCAUUAAAGCGUUUUUCAGCGAACGAACGACGGCAAAGCAAACGCAGAAAAAUAAGCGAAAACACACAUUACACGAAUAUACUAAACAACAUAUAAAAGCGACCGAAAAAUAACCGAAACAAUAAAAGUCUUGAGUGCAACUGUUACGUCUAUUACGCUUUACGUAUCGUUGUUGUUGUUAUUGUGAAAAGUUAAAAAAAACUAGAGAAAAAAGCAGAAAAAUGAGGUGUUUACUUUUGAUUGCCAGCAUUUGUCUGGUGUUGAUGUCAUCCGGUCUGAGUGGCGCUGAGGCCAAGAAGAAGAAAUACGUUGGCGAAAAUGGUGGCGAUUUCGAGUUUAUCGAUGAGAUAAAUAAAAACUCGCAAGUGCCCUCGAAGAGCAGCAAUGGUGAACGCAAGCGCUGGAUUCACGAUCCUACAAGUGACCUCUGCCGGCCGUUAAAUUGCAAGAAGCGUGAAAUUUGUCUGCUGGAGGAUGAGUACAGUGCUGUGUGUGUGUCGAAGCGUGACUUACACAAGAACCGUGGUGAAAUAAUCACGAAAGCCAAGUACUUGGAGGAGGAGGCGGCUAAGCGGCGCGCCAAUAAAGACAACGCCAACAACAACAACAUCAAUAUUAACAACAACAGCGAGAAUGACAAUGACGACGAGGAUGCGAAGAAUUUCAGCUCGGACGAGGAGUCCCGUGAGGAUGAUGUCUUCUAUGAGAACAACAACACAGCCGGCGAUAAGGACGACGAAGAGGAUGAAGACAAUUGCAAGCCCUGCCCGGUGGCAAAGCCGACUUUCUUAUGCGGCGCCGACAACCGUACCUACUCAUCGCUAUGCAGAUUGGAUUACCACAACUGCAUACAUUCCACAACCAUAAGAAUAGCGUGCAAGGGAUUCUGUCCAUGCAAGGAAAAUACGGAUGGCAAACGUUUACAGCGUCUCAGUGAGCGUCAAAGUGCUUUUAAUGCCAAAUAUAAGAAGACCAUAGAGCAACAGCAGCAGCAGCAGCAACAGCAGCAAAAGCAACAAAUGCAACAACAAUUAAUGUACAAGGAUAACAGCAAUAGCAACAACAUUAUGGGCAACUCCAAUGACAAUUUGGACAACACUUUGAAUAGCAAUAAUUUUAAUGCUAUUAUGGAUGAUAAGGACGAUAACAAUCGCCAUUACAAUCACAUAAAUUCGCAAUUCACAUUCACACCGGAGGAAAUCAAAUAUGAUAACAAACACUAUAAGUAUCUCAAGUACACCGCCUACAAGAAGGACAACCAAUACCCAGAGGACAAGCACAAAAUUCGUGGCUAUAAUGAGGUGGUCGAGAAACCACAAAAGUACAACAAGAAUAGCAUGAACAAUGGUUUCUUACCCUCCAAAUCGCCCGAAUGCAAGCCACAACAAUUGACCGCCAUCGGCAAUCGCCUGCUUGACUGGUUCUCCGUUAUAAUGGCCGACAGCAAGAAACGACGACAACACAGCCAAAAAUCCAAGGCGCACUUCCCACCCGCCUGCAAGACCGAGGCCAAAUGGAUGUUCGGCCAUUUGGAUUUGAACAACGACGGCUAUUUGUCGCUGCAGGAAAUGUACGACUUGGAGCAUGAUCAGAAUGAGCGUUGCAUUAAGCCAUUCAUUGAUACGUGCGAUUUGGAUCAGGAUAAUUCGAUUAAUACGCGCGAAUGGUGCCGCUGCUUCGAGAAGACCGAUCGCCCAUGCGCCGCGGUACGACGAAGAAUCGCUGGCGAUUUUGCAGGUGAGAUAGGCGCCUAUGCACCCGAUUGCGAUAUCCAGGGUUUCUAUAAACCCACUCAAUGUCAUAAUUCUGUCGGCGUUUGCUGGUGUGUGGAUAAACAUGGAGUUGAAUUCGCCAACACACGUACUCGUGGCAAGCCCAAUUGCGAGUCCGUUGUGAAUAACGCCUCAUCACUCACCUCCGACGAUGAGGACGAGGAGACCGACGACGACGACAGUGCGGAAGGAAGUGCCGAUCAAAUGUUGGUAUUCUAAAUGAAAUGAAACGAAAUGAAACUAAGUAGCAGAGUUUGAAAACGCUCAACAAGAAAGAGGUGCGGGAGAGAAUGGUGUCUAACCGAAGCUUAUUUGAGGAGACAGCAGGUGCAAAGGAGUAAAACGAAGCGUUAGAGAAUUCUUCUACAUACUCCGUUAGACAAACUUACGUAUCGUACACGCUAAAAUUCCGCCCAAUAAAUUUUGUGAUAAGUUUUCAAAAUAAAAAAAAAUUAAUAAUAAUACAAAAACAACAACAACUAAAGCAAAUAUGUACGCAUUUAAAAAAACGCGUAAAAGGUGAAAAAGAAAACACGCCAGCAAAUAAAAAAUAAUUUCAAACGCCACACACAGACACACACACUAAUACCAAAACACUGCAAGUUCGUUUAAACUCAGCUUCAGUUGCAACUUAAAAGCAAAAAGAACUUUAAUAAAAACAUAUUUACUAAACUAAACGAAGAACAACGCGCAGAAAUGCAGCAGCAAAUAAAAAAAAAAACAGAAAGAAGAAGAAGAGCAGAAAGACCAGAGAGCGCUGCCAGCUGCUUUGCAAAGUUUAGAUGAAGGCAUAAUACCUAAGUGACAGUAAUAAAUUGAUAAAUAAAAGAGUAAUUAAUGUGAAACUGCUACCUACCUUAUAAACUGGAAAGAGUUGCCAACAUAGUUGUAUUUAAUGAAACCAAUGAUAAGCUUAUUGAGUGUACGAAUAACGUUGAUAAAUAUGUGUAGUGCAAGUAGGAGAAAAAUGUCGCGCUGAGAAGAAAGAAAAUAAAUAUAUAAUAUAAAAAAUAAAAUAUAAAAAAACAUUAUUAUUUAUAAUAGCAUUUUUACAUACAGUUUUAAUUAUUUGUGCGCAUUUCAAUUAUGAGCUUUCACACGAGCUUACAUUUGAGCUUUCAGACUAUGCCAUUACCUUUCAUUCAGAUAAAGAACUGCAGUUAUAAACACCACUUAUUAUUUCAGCUGCCUUAGCUAGUGUCAAUUGUGCGAAAAUUCAUGUAAGCUUUCAUCAGAGACGGAGAGCUUUUAAAAACGUUUUCUAUCAAAAUAUUGCAUACUAAAAACAUGUAUUUAAAUAAUCUUACUUUACACUUUAAUUCAUAAUUCUAAACAGAAUGAAUAUUUACAGCUUUCAUGCAAGCUUUCAUAAAUCGUGACCAAAUAAAUGCAUAAAAUUUAAGUUUCAAAUAAUUUCAAUUUACAAUACAUUUCGGAAUAUUUAGAGCUUUCGAGCAAGCUUUCAUAAAUCGUGAAAUCGUGCACCAAGAAAAUGCGUAAUAUUUUAAAUAACUACAGCAGUUUCAAAAAGGCUACUGAAAAAAUACUUACGUAAGCUUUCAUCUGAGACAGAGAGCUUUUUAAUAAGUUGUGUAUAAAAACAGUAUUUACUAAACAAAAGAUGACUUUUGGGAAUCAGAAGUAAAAACCUAAAUCAAUUGUUUCAAAAUUCUGAGGCUAUUUUUCUACAUAUUAGUAAAAUUUUUGAAGAAAAAUAUUUAAACAUAUUUCAGAUUACACGCGAUCUUUACUGCUGUAGUGAUUCCGGUCCUUUUUGUGAAUGAAUCCUAAAAAAAUGCUCUUUGGAGCUUUUAUCGGAACACAAGACAAGUUUAUUCUCAUGGCAUCAAUUUAAUUCCAGUGCGAUCUAGUAUUUAUAAUACAACUUUGCAAAAGUCUUCAUAAUUUUUCAGAAAUAAUAUGCAGCUUGAGCUUACGUGGUACAGAAAAUCAGCCAACUUAUCUCUUAGCUUUCAGAAACUUUCACUAGAGUUUUAAAUUUUAGCCGAAGUGAUUUUCCAUUUAAAAUAUUUAAGCUAAAAAUUUACAAAAACUAAAAUCUUUGGUAGCAACAGUUUUCAUAACUUGGAAGAAAUCGAAAAUAUUGAUAAUUUUCAAUAAUAUGGUUGAGCUUUAUUUCAUAUUGAUACUUUUUAAUAAUAUGGUUGAGCUCAUUCAUUGCAGUUGAUUAGUAAAAAAAUCCAAAACGAAAUUUAUUUAAAAUUAAAAAAAAUGCAAAUAAUUCCUUUGAAUCGACUGAAUGAAAGACUUUAAGGAAUGAUAAUAAUUUUUUUUGGAGCUUUCAUAUGGGUUUUCGCCAUUUAAUUAAAAGCUUUCACCAUUCAAUUAAAAAAUUUACAGUUUUAUCUAUUCGAUAAUGUAGGCUAUACAUUAUUUGAGGUGUAUCAUAUAUUGUACGGCGUCACUCGUAAAUUCGCUCGUUUCAAUAGCAAACCAUAGUAACACCUUUGAAUAAAAAUUUAUUUCGUGCAAUUUUUUUUAUUGCUUGACACACAUAUCUUCAAUGCUUUUUGUUUAACAAUUAAACUUUUUGUGCAAUAUUUGCUUUAUAAUAGAAAGAAAUAAAGUCUAUGCAACAAGGCACACCGUUAAAGUUUACAAAAACUAUGCUGUAAGUAGUAUAAACUAUAAAUAUACAUACAUAUAUAUGUGUUAAUAUAUGCAUGUUUACGAAGCAAGUUAUGAGCACAGAUUAAUGCGCUUAAUAGGAGGAAAAAGAUUUAGAAAAAACGAAGCAAACAAAUUAAAUGAGGAAUGCGAAAAAUGGCGGUAAAAAAUAGUAAGAAAUAAAACAAUAAAAACACAUCAAAACGCAGUGUGCAAAAAUCAAAUAUUAUUACAACACAAUUGGCGGCAAUUAAGCGAACUAAUAAAGAGAACUUGAUAAAAAAAAAAAAAAACAACGCUAAACACGAAGCAGAUGAAACUGAUGAUCAAUACAAUUAAGUAAACAUAAAAUU
rnacentral:misc_RNA from 1 species